rnacentral:rRNA from 1 species
UAGCGGCACGCCUAACACAUGCAAGUCGCACGAGAAAGGGAGCAAUCCUGAGUAGAGUGGCGCACGGGUGCGUAACACGUAGAUAACCUGCCCUUUGGAGGGGGAUAACGUUCCGAAAGGAGCGCUAAUACCGCAUAAUGCCUUUUCCGGUUCGCCGGAGAUUGACAAAGAUAGGGACCCGCAAGGGCCUAUCGCCAGAGGAGGGGUCUGCGGCCCAUCAGCUAGUUGGGGAGGUAAUGGCUCACCAAGGCAGAGACGGGUAGCUGGUCUGAGAGGAUGAUCAGCCACACUGGUACUGGAACACGGACCAGACUCCUACGGGAGGCAGCAGUGGGGAAUCUUGGUCAAUGGGCGCAAGCCUGAACCAGCGAUGCCGCGUGAGUGAUGAAGGCCUUCGGGUCGUAAAGCUCUGUGGGGCGGGACGAAAAGACAGGUUCUAACAGGACCUGAAAUUGACGGUACCGCCUUAGCAAGCACCGGCUAACUCUGUGCCAGCAGCCGCGGUAAGACAGAGGGUGCAAACGUUGCUCGGAAUCACUGGGCGUAAAGGGCGUGUAGGCGGGAAGGAAAGUCGGGCGUGAAAUCCCUGGGCUCAACCCAGGAACUGCACUCGAAACUUCUUUUCUUGAGUGCCGGAGAGGAAAGCGGAAUUCCUGGUGUAGAGGUGAAAUUCGUAGAUAUCAGGAGGAAC